GGGAGCGCACGGGGACUGGUGUCCCUCCCGGACUUCAAAUCCGGUGCUGGGUGCUAGAACCACCCUGGGUGGGUUCGAUUCCCACACGUUCCCGCCA
rnacentral:tRNA from 1 species